GCCUAACAGCUAGCCUCCCUAAAAUCCCUAACACACCCCUAUCAAUAUCCCCUCACGCAUUACCAUAAUAAAUUAAACCAUUUUUCCCCCUCAGUAUGGGAGACAGAAAAGGAACCCAGAGCAACAGAGAAAGUACCGCAGGGGAACGCUGAAAAAGAAAUGAAAUAACCCAACAUAAGCAUAAAAAAGCAGAGGCUUAGCUCGAUU
rnacentral:rRNA from 1 species